rnacentral:rRNA from 1 species
GGGGGGAGCAAGCGUUGUUCGGAUUUACUGGGCGUAAAGGGCGCGUAGGCGGCCACCGCAAGUCGACUGUGAAAUCUCCGGGCUUAACCCGGAAAGGUCAGCCGAUACUGCGGGGCUAGAGUGCAGAAGGGGCAACUGGAAUUCUCGGUGUAGCGGUGAAAUGCGUAGAUAUCGAGAGGAACACCUGCGGCGAAGGCGGGUUGCUGGGCUGACACUGACGCUGAUGCGCGAAAGCUAGGGGAGCGAACGGGAUUAGAUACCCCGGUAGUCCUAGCCUUAAACGAUGAAUGCUUGGUGUCUGGGGUUUUAUAGUCCCCGGAUGCCGUCGCUAACGCUUUAAGCAUUCCGCCUGGGGAGUACGGUCGCAAGACUG